rnacentral:rRNA from 1 species
GCUUAACACAUGCAAGUCGAGCGAGAAUCGUUUAUUGAAGGCUUCGGCUGGAAAUAGAUGAGGAAGGCGGCGAACGGGUGAGUAACGCGUGGGCAACCUGGCCUUAAGAAAAGGAUAGCCCCCGGAAACGGGGAGUAAUACUUUAUGAGAAUGAGAGAGGGCAUCCUACUUUCAUUCAAAGCGCAAGAGAUUAAGGAUGGGCCCGCGUAUCAUUAGCUAGUUGGUGAGAUAACAGCCCACCAAGGCAACGAUGAUUAGCCGGUCUGAGAGGGCGAACGGCCACAUUGGAACUGAGAGACGGUCCAGACUCCUACGGGAGGCAGCAGUGGGGAAUAUUGCGCAAUGGAGUAGAACUCUGACGCAGCAAUACCGCGUGAGCGAAGAAGGUCUUCGGAUCGUAAAGCUCUGUUAUCAGGGAAGAAGAAAAUGACGGUACCUGAUGAGCAAGUCCCGGCUAACUACGUGCCAGCCGCCGCUGUAA